GACGAACGCUGGCGGCGUGCUUAACACAUGCGAGUCGAACGGAAAGGCCCUGCUUGCAGGGUACUCGAGUGGCGAACGGGUGAGUAACACGUGGGUGAUCUGCCCUGCACUUCGGGAUAAGCUUGGGAAACUGGGUCUAAUACCGGAUAGGAGCCAUCUUUAGUGUGGUGGUUGGAAAGUUUUUUCGGGGUAGGAUGAGCUCGCGGCCUAUCAGCUUGUUGGUGGGGUAAUGGCCUACCACGGAGGCGACGGGUAGCCGGCCUGAGAGGGUGUACGGCCACAUUGGGGCUGUGAUACGGCCCAGACUCCUACGGGGGGCAGCAGAGGGGAAUAUUGCACAAUGGGCGCGAGCCUGAUGCAGCGACGCCGCGUGGGGGAUGAAGGCCUUCGGGUUGUAAACUCCUUUCGCUAGGGACGAAGCUUUGUUGUGACGGUACCUAGAUAAGAAGCACCGGCUAACUACGUG
rnacentral:rRNA from 1 species